rnacentral:rRNA from 1 species
UACGGAGGGUGCAAGCGUUAUCCGGAUUCACUGGGUGUAAAGGGUGCGUAGGUGGGUCUGUAAGUCAGUGGUGAAAUCUUCAAGCUUAACUUGGAAACUGCCAUUGAUACUAUAGGUCUUGAAUUAUCUGGAGGUGAGCGGAAUAUGUCAUGUAGCGGUGAAAUGCUUAGAUAUGACAUAGAACACCAAUUGCGAAGGCAGCUCACUACGGAUGUAUUGACACUGAGGCACGAAAGCGUGGGGAUCAAACAGG